UACGUAGGGUGCGAGCGUUAAUCGGAAUUACUGGGCGUAAAGCGCGUGUAGGCGGGAGGGCACGUCCGUUGCUGAAAUCCCCCGGCUCAACCGGGGAACGGGCGCGGAUACGACUCUCCUCGAGGGGCGUAGGGGGACCUGGAACUUCCGGUGGAGCGGUGAAAUGCGUUGAGAUCGGAAGGAACGCCCGUGGCGAAAGCGAGGUCCUGGACGCCUACUGACGCUGAGACGCGAAAGCCAGGGGAGCGAACGGG
rnacentral:rRNA from 1 species